AGAAAAUAGUUUAAUUAAAAACACUUUACUGAAAAUAAAGACGAUGGGUUACCCCCUUUUCUC
rnacentral:tRNA from 1 species